AACGAACGCUGGCGGCAGGCUUAACACAUGCAAGUCGAACGCCCCGCAAGGGGAGUGGCAGACGGGUGAGUAACGCGUGGGAACAUACCCUUUCCUGCGGAAUAGCUCUGGGAAACUGGAAUUAAUACCGCAUACGCCCUACGGGGGAAAGGUUUAUCGGGGAAGGAUUGGCCCGCGUUGGGUUAGCUAGUUGGUGGGGUAAAGGCCUACCAAGGCGACGAUCCAUAGCUGGUCUGAGAGGAUGAUCAGCCACAUUGGGACUGAGACACGGCCCAAACUCCUACGGGAGGCAGCAGUGGGGAAUAUUGGACAAUGGGCGCAAGCCUGAUCCAUCCAUGCCGCGUGAGUGAUGAAGGCCUUAGGUUUGUAAAGCUCUUUCACUGAUGAAGAUAAUGACGGCAGUCGGAGAAGAAGCCCCGGCUAACUUCGUGCCAGCCGCCGCGGUAAAAC
rnacentral:rRNA from 1 species